UACGUAGGUGGCAAGCGUUGUCCGGAUUUACUGGGCGUAAAGAGCGCGCAGGCGGUCGUUCAAGUCGCGUGUGAAAGCCCCCGGCUCAACUGGGGAGGGUCACGCGAUACUGAUCGACUCGAAGGCAGGAGAGGGAAGUGGAAUUCCCGGUGUAGUGGUGAAAUGCGUAGAUAUCGGGAGGAACACCAAUUGCGAAGGCAGCUCGCUGGGACGAUACUGACGCUGAGGCGCGAAAGCGUGGGGAGCAAACAGG
rnacentral:rRNA from 1 species